rnacentral:rRNA from 1 species
AUACCUUCAUCUUCACUUAACCCCUUCUUAACAAAGAGCAAUUCUAUAUCUCUAUAGAAAAUUUUAUGUUAAAACUAGUAAUAAGAAGCUAGCCCUUCUCUUUAAUGCAAACUUACAUCAGCCAGGACACCCCACUGAUUAUUAACGUCCCUAAAACCAUUGUAAUAACUAAUCAAGAAAAUAUUACCUUCUCCUACGUUAACCUAACACAAGAGCAUUUUAAGAAAGAUUAAAAGAAAAAGAAGGAACUCGGCAAAUUUUAGCCUCGCCUGUUUACCAAAAACAUCGCCUCUUGAGUACUAAUAAGAGGUCAUGCCUGCCCAGUGACUCUGUUCAACGGCCGCGGUAUCCUAACCGUGCGAAGGUAGCGUAAUCACUUGUUCUUUAAA